rnacentral:rRNA from 1 species
UACAGAGGUCUCAAGCGUUGUUCGGAUUCAUUGGGCGUAAAGGGUGCGUAGGCGGCGCGGUAAGUCGGGUGUGAAAUCUCGGGCUUAACUCCGAAACUGCAUUCGAUACUGCCGUGCUUGAGGACUGGAGAGGAGACUGGAAUUUACGGUGUAGCGGUGAAAUGCGUAGAUAUCGUAAGGAAGACCAGUGGCGAAGGCGGGUCUCUGGACAGUUCCUGACGCUGAGGCACGAAGGCCAGGGAGCAAACGGG